rnacentral:rRNA from 1 species
UACGGAGGGUGCAAACGUUGCUCGGAAUCAUUGGGCGUAAAGCGCACGUAGGCGGUUCGUUAAGUCGGAUGUGAAAGCCCUGGGCUCAACCCAGGAAGAGCAUUCGAAACUGGCGGACUAGAGUAUGGAAGAGGGUCGCGGAAUUCCCGGUGUAGAGGUGAAAUUCGUAGAUAUCGGGAGGAACACCAGUGGCGAAGGCGGCGACCUGGGCCAAUACUGACGCUGAGGUGCGAAAGCGUGGGGAGCAAACAGG